GGGAGCCUGCAGGGAAACUAUGAGACCUGCAGAAAAAGCCUCACCAAAACUGACACCUUCCUGAAAAACCUCUGACUAGUGAAGCAGCCUGUUUCCUGUAUGAUAAAUGAAUAGUAUGUCCUAACCAGCCCUAAUGCGCAGGAUAUGGGUGUAACUUUGAGGGAUGUCCCUAGUCAAGGGGAGAUCCUGUCAUGCAGCCUGCUGUUGUAUACAAGGUACAGAUGAAAAGAUCUUCCUUACUGCAUUCCUGUUGGAGCUUAAAGCCUUUGCAAUGGUUUAUUGAUGAACUACUAUUUUGAAAAUCAAGACUGCUGAGGCUUAAGAUUGUAGUGACAAUUACAUGGUGUUUUGUUGCUAAGUUAACAAUUUGCAUGGGACUGAUGAUAGCUUGACAUUAAGCAAAUAAAGUAUUAUUAUUGUAAUUCAGUGUAGAAUUCUGUAGAAAACACUUUCUUGGACCAGUGCACAGACUUCAACGACAGGGCUGUGGUAUCUCUUUCAUGUGAUAAUUUAACCACUUAUACACUAUUACUCUUGGCGAUUGUAACUGCCUGAUGAAAUAUAGAACUGCUGAGUCCUGUAAGCACUAAAGCACGUGAGUAACUGUUUCCAGGGGAUUAGUUCUGCUGCAGGUUAUUUAUCUGGGUGAAGGAACUUGUGCAUCUCCACGUUUAGAGGCUGAUCCUGGAAGACCCUGUAGGAGUUUACUUGGCAGCAUACAAGCCUGAAAGACGCUGUUCCUAGAUGAGAAGAUUUUUCAAAUAUAUUUUAGUCCAUUUAUUGCUGUCUCUGAUAAUCAGUAGUGGGCUAUAUCCUCACUAGAAAGCACCUCCAAUACAUUAAUUAUACUGAAUAUAUUUUGAUAAAGCACUGAUUUAAUAAGAACAUUUGAUAACCUUGUCACAACAAGAGAGAACUGGGCCAAACCUGGUAAUUCCCAACAUACCCAGUAUCAGGUGUCAGGAGUUUCUUUAAGUCAUUCAGGGUAACUCUAAAACAGUAUUUGCCUGAUUCUAUUUCUGCUGAUAUGAAAACAAAUGUGUUCAAUGCAUAAAAUGUUGUGCACUGAAGCAGGAUAUGGCCUGGGAAUGCUGAACCUCAGCUCUCACACCUGCAGUUCUUCCAGUGAUGAGGAACUUACAUUGUACAGCAGAAAAUACAUGUUUGCUCUUGGGACGUGCAGUUUGGGAUUUGGUGCUACAGCCUCUUGGGUUUUCAUACAUAUCUUUCAGAGUGAUACAGACAAUCCCAUUAGGGCUAAUAUUUUAUUUCUUCUAGCUGGAUGACUGAGAGAGAAAACUAGAACAGCACUGCUCGCUCCUACUUACUCAAGGCCAUCCUGACAGUGACGUGUGCCUUCUUGAAAGUGCGGUUUGAUGGACCCAUGGUCUGUAGGCAGUACAACCUUUAAUAUUUCAUUUACUAACUGAAAAUUAGCAGUUCUGAUGCCUAAUCAGACUCAGUGAUAUGAGGAGACGCACUCCAGGUUCCAUUAUGGGUCAGUGGGAGACUGUCCAUUCAGGGUAUCCCUGGAGUGAAGAUCCAAAACAAUAUUAGCAUUGAAUUACUUCUUUUGGUUGAAAAUUGGUCUUGUGCUUGUGGCACUCCUAAGCUGUAAUGACGAGAAAAGAAGGGUCUCUGGUGCUGUCAGCUGUCUAAGAGCAUAAGCUCCCCACACAGAGCAGGAGAAAAAAAGUUACCUCUUCUAAUUCUGAUUAGUGGUGAGACAGAAUCCUACAGGCUGCCAGAUCCAACAAAAUAUUAUACGCUUUGAUAAACCACAUGUGCCUACAUAACCCAGUAUGGCGCUGGGGGCAAAUAUAGAUUGAUGAUACAGAUCUCACAAGAUGAAAUACGUUAGCUAAUGCUGUAAUACCCUGAGAAUGUUAUUCACUGCUGACUAACUCAAUAUAUUACUUAUUUAUUAUUUUUAAGAAGGAAAUAUUUUUCUCAAACUGCAAACAAGGAGGGCAUCUCCACAACUUUGUUUCUUCUUGUUCCAUAUGGUUGCUUUAUGUGCUGAGUCUAUGUUGACUCCAUUUCUACAUUCUACACAAACCACUGUUUUAUGUCACAUUCACUGUUUUGUCACUUAAGACUUUCAUCAUUAUGUGAGUCAUGAACUGCUAAUUUUGCAAUAUAGUAGCAUGGUUUCCUUUGAACCUCACUAAUGAGAUAUAUUGUUUUAUUUUCAAUUAUGCUUAUUUCACUCCGAUGACUUCUGAGUAUGUACAGAGUAUAUAGCACAUUUCUAUUUACAAGGCACUGUUACUGUCUUCAUUACUAAUAUUUUACUGUAUAGUCAUAAACAAUUUGAAAAUACAUUUUUUCU
rnacentral:lncRNA from 7 species